rnacentral:misc_RNA from 1 species
GAUGAAGAACGUAGCGAAAUGCGAUAAGUAAUGUGAAUUGCAGAAUUCAGUGAAUCAUCGAAUCUUUGAACGCACAUUGCGCCCGCCAGUAUUCUGGCGGGCAUGCCUGUUCGAGCGUCAUUUCAACCCUCAGGACCCUUUGGACCUGGUGUUGGGGCUCGGCCGCUACCCCGCGGCCGUCCCCGAAAGAUAGUGGCGGUCUCGCUGUAGCGUCCUCUGCGUAGUAAUUACACCUCGCACCGGAACGCGGCGCGGCCACGCCGUUAAACACCCCACUUCUCAAGGUUGACCUCGGAUCAGGUAGGAAUACCCGCUGAACUUAAGCAUAUCAAUAAGCGGAGGA